rnacentral:rRNA from 1 species
UACGUAGGGGGCAAGCGUUGUCCGGAAUCAUUGGGCGUAAAGCGCGUGUAGGCGGCCAGAUAAGUCCGCUGUGAAAUCUCGAGGCUCAACUUCGAGCUGUCGGUGGAAACUGUCUGGCUAGAGUCCGGAAGAGGAGAAUGGAAUUCCUGGUGUAGCGGUGAAAUGCGCAGAUAUCAGGAAGAACACCGGUGGCGAAGGCGGAUCUCUGGGCCGUAACUGACGCUGAGGAGCGAAAGCAUGGGGAGCGAACAGG